ensembl:lncRNA AABR07044805.2
CAACAGUGUACUGCUUCACAGCCAUUGACCUUACUGGUAGAUAUCCCUGGAAAGUUUCCAGCUCUCAGUUUACUUGAAAUGACUUUCAUGAAGCAGAGAAAAUUGAUUGGGAAGAAAAUUUGCCAGCGUUCAGCUUGAACAGGAAAACUGCUGUGGUGUAUGACAAAGGUACUGGAGAAAUAGCAUAUAAGGGAAGGAUGAAACUAAACCAGGAAUGGAUGAACUUCUGUGGCUACAGGGCUACAGGGAAUGGAAAAACAAGAUACCCUACAUAGUAGCAGGGAGAAGCAUUUGCAAGCCACUUCAAGGGCAACUGUGUGGAAGAGUUUCAGCACAAUAUUGAUGUGGUCAAGACACUUGAGGUCAUGUGCAGAGAAUGGAUCAGAGGAUGGCAAGUCUGAAUGUUUGGAGACUGGUUCUUAAGCCAUGAGAUUUUCUACGUCUUGGUGGAGAGAGUAAGAAAUGAUGUGAGCAGGAAGUCUAUAAAUCUUUGGGUGGUGAUUCUAAAACUGUAGGUCUUGGGUUGCAAGAGAACGCACUAGAGAUCAGAUCACACGCGGAUUCUCCUCAGAGGACGAGCACCUAGACCACAGGGAAAAAUGGACUGAGCGGUGAAGGGAAAUUUCUG